AGCUAAGUUGCAAGCCCCGUGUCUAAAGGUGGAAGCGGUCACCUCCCCAGCUAGGCUUAGGGAUUCUUAGUCAGCCUAGGAAAUCCAGCUAGUCCUGUCUCUCACUCCUGACUUGGCCUCCCAAAGAGCUGGGAUUAUAGGCAUGAGCCACUGUGGCUGGCCUGACUUUAAACAAAUAUGUUAUAUGUGGUUUGAACUGGAUAUGUUAUAUUAAGCAAGACCAGUCAUAGGGCAAAUCUCUUAUGAGGAUUCCUUGCCUUCCUUCUGUGUGACCCUCUCUACCUUUUAUUUAGGUGGCAGUCAAAGCGGCCAUUCCCCCAGACACCAGAAGAAGCUUCAGGGGCUGGAUCCUGAUAUGGACCAGACACCUCGAGCCACGAAGUCGCCAACCCCCUCACCGGAUGGAACAAUAAUUCAAGACAAGCUGUUGGAGGAGGUCACGCCACCUGACACCUGCUAGCUCCCCUUCCUCUUCUGCAUUCCAAACCCUCUGUGUGUGUGUGUGUGUGUGUGUGUGUGUGUGUGUGUGUGUGUGUGACAGGGUCUCACUCUGUCACCCAGGCUGGAGUGCAGUGGCACCAUCACCACUCAGUGCAGCCUCUACCUCCUGGGCUCAAGUGAUCCUCCCACCUCAGCCUCCCAAGUAGCUGAGAAUACAGGUGUGUGCCACCAUACCUAGCUAAUUUUUGUAUUUUUUGUAGAGAUGUAGUUUUGCCAUGUUGCCCAGGCUGAUCUUGAACUUCUGAGCUCUAGUGAUCUGCCUGCCUAUGCCUCCCAUAUUGCUGGGAUUGUAGGCGUGAGCAACCACACCUGGCCCAAAUCCUCUCUUUAAAACCCCCUGCAUUCCCUCUACAAAUUCAAAAGUAGAAUUUUUUUCAUUCUUUCCCUUACUGGCAUGGAUAAUAAAGUCUCGCUCUCUUUUUUUUUAUCACAUCUUGUUAUUAUUUUGGCUUCUUUUUACACACGGUGAGCAGCCAGACCCUUUUGCCAGUUACAAUAUCAGGGUUGUGAGAUAGAUAGAUGAUUGAUAGACAGAUAGAUAGAUAGAUAGAUAGAUAGAUAGAUAGAUAGAUAGAUAGUUUUUUUUUUCUUGGACUAUUCUUCAUAACAAAGGGGUGUGAUAUAAUAUUAGCUUCCUAUAAAAGGAAUGUGGCCAGGCACAGUGGCUCAUGCCUGUAAUCCCAACACUUUGGGAGGCCGGGGUGGGAAGAUUGCUGGAAGCCAGGAGUUUGAGACAAGCCCAGGCAACAUAGAGAGACCCCAUCUCUACAAAAAAAAUUAGCCAGGCAUGGUGGUGCACGUCUGUCAUCCCAGCUACUCUAGAGACUGAGAGAGGAGUAUUGCUUGAGCUAUGAUGGUGACACUGCACUCCAGCCUCUGUAACAGAGAAAAAUCCUGUCUCUAAAAACAAAACAAAAUAAACAAACAGAAAAUGUGAA
rnacentral:lncRNA from 10 species